rnacentral:antisense_RNA from 1 species
GCGCCUGCGUCAUCGGCAGACAAAUCAGGCCGCGCCCGUGGGUCGCCAUGAAAUUGAUCGCCGCUGCAUCCGCAUGUUCGGCUGCGAUGAU